CUAAGAAAUUUAAAACUAGAAGUCUCUUGAGGAUUCAGUAAAUGUAGUGCUUUUAAUGGCUAAGAGAUUGAGCUACCCUAAACUGUUUCACCAACAUGCCUCAACUCUGACCUGGAAGGACCACCUAUAGGGGAGAAAGGUGGUUCAACUUCCAGGCCCAUUGAAUCAUUUGUCUUU
rnacentral:sRNA from 1 species